UACGUAGGGUGCGAGCGUUAAUCGGAAUUACUGGGCGUAAAGCGUGCGCAGGCGGUUUUGUAAGUCAGGUGUGAAAUCCCCGGGCUUAACCUGGGAACUGCGCUUGUGACUGCAAGACUCGAGUACGGCAGAGGGGGGUAGAAUUCCACGUGUAGCAGUGAAAUGCGUAGAGAUGUGGAGGAAUACCGAUGGCGAAGGCAGCCCCCUGGGUCGAUACUGACGCUCAUGCACGAAAGCGUGGGGAGCAAACAGG
rnacentral:rRNA from 1 species